AUUCCAGCUCCAAUAGCGUAUAUUUAAGUUGUUGCAGUUAAAAAGCUCGUAGUAGGAUUUCGGGUGGGUACCGCCGGUCUCCCUUCGGGUAUGUACUGGCGUGGCCCGCCUUGCUGUCGGGGACGGUCUCCUGGGCUUUAUUGUCCGGGAAUCGGAGUCGACGAUGUUACUUUGAGUAAAUUAGAGUGUUCAAAGCAAGCCUACGCUCUGAAUAUAAUAGCAUGGGAUAACACGACAGGACUCUGGCCUAUCGUGUUGGUCUGUAGGACCGGAGUAAUGAUUAAGAGGGACAGUCGGGGGCAUUCGUAUUCCAUUGUCAGAGGUGAAAUUCUUGGAUUUGUGGAAGACGAACAUCUGCGAAAGCAUUUGUCAAGGAUGUUUUCAUUA
rnacentral:rRNA from 1 species